rnacentral:tRNA from 1 species
UAAUGGGUAGGAUUAAAAGUGUCCUUAUGUUUUGUAACAUGAUUUUAGCCUUUAG